AUUGAACGCUGGCGGCAGGCCUAACACAUGCAAGUCGAACGAGUGGCGGACGGGUGAGUGAGGUCUGGGAAACUGCCUGAUGGAGGGGGAUAACUACUGGAAACGGUAGCUAAUACCGCAUACCAUCGGAUGUGCCCAGAUGGGAUUAGCUAGUCGGUGGGGUAAAGGCUCACCAAGGCGACGAUCCCUAGCUGGUCUGAGAGGAUGACCGGCCACACUGGAACUGAGACACGGCCCAGACUCCUACGGGAGGCAGCAGUGGGGAAUAUUGCGCAAUGGACGCAAGCCUGACGGAGCAAUGCCGCGUGUAUGAAGAAGGCUUUCGGGUUGUAAAGUACUUUCAGCGGAGAGGCGUUACCCGAAGAGGAAGCACCGGCUAACUCCGUGCCAGCAGCCGCGGUAAUAC
rnacentral:rRNA from 1 species